rnacentral:rRNA from 1 species
UACGGAGGGGGCUAGCGUUGUUCGGAAUUACUGGGCGUAAAGCGCACGUAGGCGGCUUUGUAAGUUAGAGGUGAAAGCCCGGGGCUCAACCCCGGAAUUGCCUUUAAGACUGCAUCGCUUGAACACGGGAGAGGUGAGUGGAAUUCCGAGUGUAGAGGUGAAAUUCGUAGAUAUUAGGAAGAACACCGGUGGCGAAGGCGGCCCACUGGCUCGAUACUGACGCUGAGGUGCGAAAGCGUGGGGAGCAAACAGG